UACCAGGGCCUGCGGACUCAUCAGGGGAAGAAAGGAUGCACACCAAGAGGAGAGAGAAUCCCUUAUAGUGCACAUCUUAAAUUUCCUCAACUAACAUACCCGAUAUCUCCAAUCCAGACAAUCAAGGCACCAGAUGUGAGCUGGCAGGUUUGCCAUUGUGGCUGGUCCAAAGAAACAACCUACCAGGGCCUGCGGACUCACCAGGGGAAGAACGGAUGCACACCAAGAGGAGAGAGAAUCCCUAAUAGUGCACAUCUUAAAGUUCCUCAACUAACAUACUCGACAUCUCCAAUCCAGACAAUCAAGGCACCAGAUGUGAGCUGGCAGGUUUGCCAUUGUGGCUGGUCCAAAGAAACAACCUACCAGGGCCUGCGGACUCACCAGGGGAAGAACGGAUGCACAC